rnacentral:rRNA from 1 species
AUACGGAGGGUGCAAGCGUUAAUCGGAAUUACUUGGCGUAAAGCGUACGUAGGCGGUUUAUUAAGUCAGAUGUGAAAGCCCCGGGCUUAACCUGGGAACUGCAUUUGAAACUAGUAGACUAGAGUAUGGUAGAGGGGGGUAGAAUUCCUAGUGUAGCGGUGAAAUGCGUAGAUAUUAGGAGGAAUACCAGUGGCGAAGGCGACUCCCUGGACUCGAACUGACGCUGAGGUACGAAAGCGUGGGUAGCAAACGGGAUUAGAAACCCGGGUAGUCC